CGCCUUUAUAAAGGUGCUGGGUAGCGUACAAAGCCGCGCCAGCACCCGACCAAGGGCGGCAAAGGAAAACGAGCGCACACUAUGGCCGCUUAAACAGGGCGGGCGAGGGCCGUCUCGGCGUGCGCCUCCGCCUUGUGCCGCGGCCAGACAUUU
rnacentral:snoRNA from 1 species